UCGGAUAGAGCACCCGCCUUCUAAGCGGGUUGUCGCAGGUUCGAUUCCUGCCGGGCGCG
rnacentral:tRNA from 1 species